AAUAUUCAAAGGCAAAACCGAAGCAAUUCGGCGACGCAAAACUAUAGGAUCUCUACGAGAUAGCCAGUUGCAGAC
rnacentral:ncRNA from 1 species